rnacentral:snRNA from 1 species
AUGCUCCAAUCCUCAGCACAUAUACUAAAAUUGGAGUGAUCCCGAGAAGAUUAGCAUGGCAUGAACCCUGUGCAAGGAUGACAUGCAAAUGUGUGGAGUGUUCCAUAUUUAU